rnacentral:rRNA from 1 species
GUGCGGAAUGGAGCACCUGGCGUACGGCUCAGUAACACGUAGUCAACCUGCCCUAAGGACGAGGACAACCACGGGAAACUGUGGAUAAUACUCGAUAAGAAAUUCGGCCUGGAACGGUGUCUUUCAUAAAACCGGCUCGCCGUGAGACACGGGCCUUAGGAUGGGGCUGCGGUCGAUUAUGCUAGAUGGCGGUGUAAAGGACCACCAUGGCUAUGAUCGGUAUGGGCGAUGGAAGUCGGAGCCCAGAGUCGGCUACUGAGACAAGGAGCCGAGCUUUACGAAGCUUAGCGGUCGCGAAAACUCGCCAAUGCACGAAAGUGUGAGUGGGCUACUCCAAGUGUCAUUCUUACGGAUGACUGUCGCUCAGUCUUACCAGCUGAGAAAGGAAGGAGAGGGCAAGGCUGGUGCCAGCCGCCGCGGUAAAACCAGCUCUUCGAGUGGUCAGGACGAAUAUUGGGUCUAAAGCGCUCGUAGCCGGACAAGUAGGUUCUUGGUUAAACCCGACAGCAUAACUGUUGGCCUGCUGGGAAUACCGCUAGUCUUGGGGGCGGGAGAGGACAGAGGUAGUCAUAGGGCAGGGGUGAGAUCCAGUGAUCCUAUGGCGACCACCGAUGGCGAAGGCAUCUGUCUGGAACGUAUUCGACGGUGAGGGGCGAAAGCUAGGGGAGCGACCCGGAUUAGAUACCCGGUUAGUCCUAGCCGUAAACGAUGCGGACUAGGUGUUACAGCGGCCAAGAGCCACUGUAGUGCCA